GAUGAAGAACGUAGCGAAAUGCGAUACGUAAUGUGAAUUGCAGAAUUCAGUGAAUCAUCGAAUCUUUGAACGCACAUUGCGCCCGCCAGUAUUCUGGCGGGCAUGCCUGUUCGAGCGUCAUUACAACCCUCAGGCCCCCGGGCCUGGCGUUGGGGAUCGGCGGAAGCCCCCUGUGGGCACACGCCGUCCCUCAAAUACAGUGGCGGUCCCGCCGCAGCUUCCAUUGCGUAGUAGCUAACACCUCGCAACUGGAGAGCGGCGCGGCCAUGCCGUAAAACACCCAACUUCUGAAUGUUGACCUCGAAUCAGGUAGGAAUACCCGCUGAACUUAAGCAUAUCAAUAAGCGGAGGA
rnacentral:misc_RNA from 1 species